rnacentral:rRNA from 1 species
CCUACGGGGGGUAGCAGUAGGGAAUUUUCGUCAAUGGGCGCAAGCCUGAUGGAGCAACACCGCGUGAGUGAAGGAGGGUUUCGGCUCGUAAAGCUCUGUUGUUGGAGAAGAACGUGCGUGAGAGUAACUGUUCACGCAGUGACGGUAUCCAACCAGAAAGUCACGGCUAACUACGUGCCAGCAGCCGCGGUAAUACGUAGGUGGCAAGCGUUAUCCGGAUUUAUUGGGCGUAAAGCGAGCGCAGGCGGUUGCUUAGGUCUGAUGUGAAAGCCUUCGGCUUAACCGAAGAAGUGCAUCGGAAACCGGGUAACUUGAGUGCAGAAGAGGACAGCGGAACUCCAGGUGUAGCGGUGGAAGGAGUAGAUAUAUGGAAGAACACCAGUGGCGAAGGCGGCUGUCUGGUCUGCAACUGACGCUGAGGCUCGAAAGCAUGGGUAGCGAACAGGAUUAGAUACCCCUGUAGUC